UACGUCAUGAGUAGAUCAAGAUGACUGCC
rnacentral:piRNA from 1 species